AGUUUGAUCAUGGCUCAGGAUAGAACGCUGGUCGGCGUGCUUAACACAUGCAAGUCGAACGGAGUUUAGAUGAAAGCUUGCUUUUGACUAAACUUAGUGGCGGACGGGUGAGUAACGCGUGGGUAACCUGCCUUAUACAGGGGGAUAACAGUCGGAAACGACUGCUAAUACCGCAUAAGCGCACGGAAUCGCAUGAUUCAGUGUGAAAAGAUUUAUCGGUAUAAGAUGGACCCGCGUCUGAUUUAGCUAGUUGGUGAGGUAACGGCCCACCAAGGCGACGAUCAGUAGCCGGCCUGAGAGGGUGAACGGCCACAUUGGGACUGAGACACGGCCCAAACUCCUACGGGAGGCAGCAGUGGGGAAUAUUGCACAAUGGGGGAAACCCUGAUUGCAGCGACGCCGCGUGAGUGAAGAAGUAUUUCGGUAUGUAAAGCUCUAUCAGCAGGGAAGAAAAUGACGGUACCUGACUAAGAAGCCCCGGCUAACUACGUGCCAGCCGCCGC
rnacentral:rRNA from 1 species